rnacentral:rRNA from 1 species
CUUGGUCAUUUAGAGGAAGUAAAAGUCGUAACAAGGUUUCCGUAGGUGAACCUGCGGAAGGAUCAUUAGUGAAUUAAACAUGCUUGGUGUCUUCGCUUCGGCAAGGCCCUUGCUUAAAUCACAUCCUAACACCUGUGAACUGUAAGACGUAUGAUGAGGUCUUUGGCCAAGUCAUCGUCUGCCCUUUUUUAACAAACAAUUAAUGUAACAAACGUAGUCUUAUUAUAACCUAAUAAAACUUUCAACAACGGAUCUCUUGGCUCUCGCAUCGAUGAAGAACGCAGCGAAAUGCGAUAAGUAAUGUGAAUUGCAGAAUUCAGUGAAUCAUCGAAUCUUUGAACGCACCUUGCGCUCUUUGGUAUUCCGAAGAGCAUGCCUGUUUGAGUGUCAUGAAAAUAUCAACCUUGACUUGGGUUUUGCGCUCUAGUCUUGGCUUGGAAUUGGGUGCUUGCCGCUUUUACGAGCGGCUCACCUUAAAUGUAUUAGCUGGAUCUGUCUUUGAGACUUGGUUUGACUUGGCGUAAUAAGUAUUUCGCUAAGGACAUUCUUCGGAGUGGCCUCGUUUCUAGGACGCUUGUCCGCUUCCCAAUACAAGUUCCACCUCAUGGACAUGACUUUUUUAUUAUCUGGCCUCAAAUCAGGUAGGACUACCCGCUGAACUUAAGCAUAUCAAUAAGCGGAGGA